CAUUUGGUAUAGCGUUUACGUUCGAGCGCAGUGUUGCACGUAACAUGUAUACGCGGACGCAAUGACGAGGAAGAAGAAAAAAAAACUAUUGCGUGUGAUACUUCGAUGAAGUCAAAAACACAAGAGCUUUAUAGCAGCGGCAGUAGCAGCACUGUCGUCCUAAAUAUAUAUAUAUAUAUAAGACACAAACCGAGUCCCCCCAGCAGCAAAAGCCACACCGCAACCUAAUAGUCCGUAAUAAACCAUAUAGCGGUUGACACUGCCGGAGAAUAGCUGUUGUGGUGUUAAAAUAUCGCGCGUUUUCGGACGUCUUUUAUAAAUAUAAUAAUAUGUAUAUACUUACUUACUCGGUAGCCGGGUCAUUUGGCAACGGAACAGACGAAACAAACAAAUCAAAAUUUCACCGUCGUCGUUUCCCUUCCGUCUCCCGAUUGUCCAUUAAU